rnacentral:lncRNA from 15 species
CAGAAACAAACCAGCAGUGGACACUCAACCUGCCAGUCAGGAGGAGACCCACCAUCCCAUCAUUUAGUGACUAACAUUUAGUGAAGAAUUUCAUUCAGUAAAAAUCCACAUAUAACCCUUAAAAUCCUUGUUUUUGAUUUCACUGUAUGAUGUUCAUUAGCAGGUAUUUGUAGGCUUUUAUCAGAUAAACUCCAUAUCAGUAAUGUAUGGCUCUUUUUCUGCUGUUGACAUCAUAUCAUAACAAAAUGUUCAAUUCUCAUUACAGUGUCUAUUACUGGUUUGAAGGUAAAACCAAGUUCUUUGGGAAUCUGUUCUGUGCAGCAGCAGAGAGAGAAAAGCAGACAGGAGAGAAGAUACUGGAGUUGUUAUCAUCAGUGUGCAGAUAUGAAACAUUCCCUUUUAAUGACAUGGAUGAAUAUGAUGAUGAUGAUGAGAGGGAAUAUCAGUGUGAUUUCCUGCUGGAUCUUUACUCCCACCUGAAGGACUAUGAGACUAAAACAGGCUUGAGUGUCCUUCCAUCAUCACAGUCAGUUCUCCAGUCAGCUCCUGCAGUCUGGUUCAUAAACCUCUCAGAGAGAAAGACCUCCAUCCUCCUGGAAGUGCUGAAACUCCAAUCAGAGAAGAAACAAGUGAAGCUGACAGGCUGCUCACAUGAAGAGAGUGAAGUGAGGAGUUUCCUACAGUGUCUGCCUUAUAUCUCACAGCUCAGUUUUGUUCCUCAGUCGUCAGAUCGUUAUGAAGAAACCAAGUUCUUUGGGAAUCUGUUGUGUGCAGCAGCAGAGAGAGAACAGCAGACAGGAGAGAAGAUACUGGAGCUGUUAUCAUCAGUGUGCAGAUAUAAAACAUUCCCUCUUAAAGAGAAAUGGUGUGAUUUCCAGCUGGACCUUUACUCUUAUGGUUGUGAAACAGGCUUGAGUGUCCUUCCAUCAUUACAGUCAGUUCUCCAGUCAGCUCCUGCAGUCUGGUCCAUAAACCUCUCAGAGAGAAAGACCUCCAUCCUCCUGGAAGUGCUGAAACUCCAAUCAGAGAAGAAACAAGUGAAGCUGACAGACUGCUCACAUGAAGAGAGUGAAGUGAGGAGUUUCCUACAGUGUCUGCCUUAUAUCUCACAGCUCAGUUUUGUCCGGCAGUGGUCAGAUCCUAACGAAGAAACCAAGUUCUUGGCGAAUCUGUUCUGUGCAGCAACAGAGAGAGAACAGCAGACAGGAGAGAAUAUACUGGAGCUGUUAUCAUCAGUGUGCAGAUAUAAAACAUGCACUUUUAAAUACAUGGAUGGUUAUGAGCAGUAUCAGUGUGAUUUCCUGUUGGAUCUUUGCUCCCAUGUGAAAGACUAUGAGACUAAAACAGGGUUGAGUGUCCUUCCAUCAUUACAGUCAGUUCUCCAGUCAGUUUCUGCAGUCUGGUCCAUAAACCUCUCAGAGAGAAAGACCUCCAUCCUCCUGGAAGUGCUGAAACUCCAAUCAGAGAAGAAACAAGUGAAGCUGACAGGCUGCUCACAUGAAGAGAGUGAAGUGAGGAGUUUCCUACAGUGUCUGCCUUAUAUCUCACAUCUCAGUUUUGUUCCUCAGUCGUCAGAUCGUUAUGAAGAAACCAAGUUCUUUGGGAAUCUGUUCUGUGCAACAGCAGAGAGAGAACAGCAGACAGGAGAGAAGAUACUGGAGCUGUUAUCAUCAGUGUGCAGAUAUAAAACAUUCCCUCUUAAAAGAGAAAUGGUGUGAUUUCCUCAUGGACCUUUACUCUUAUGGUUGUGAAACAGGGUUGAGUGUCCUUCCAUCAUUACAGUCAGUUCUCCAGUCAGCUCCUGCAGUCUGGUCCAUAAACCUCUCAGAGAGAAAGACCUCCAUCCUCCUGGAAGUGCUGAAACUCCAAUCAGAGAAGAAACAAGUGAAGCUGACAGACUGCUCACAUGAAGAGAGUGAAGUGAGGAGUUUCCUACAGUGUCUGCCUUAUAUCUCACAGCUCAGGUAAGUCUGAUAAUAUUGAAAGGAAGUUUGUCAAAACAUUAUUUGACUAUAAUUUAAAAUUGA